GACUGCAUGAUGCUUUAAGAGUAGGAAAAGAAUGGGUUUUGUAUGCUUCUGAUGAGUUUAUUACUCAUAAUUGUAAGCAAGAUAAAACAUGUUACCUUCGUGUUCUUAUGAUGUGAUACUAAGGCUGAUGUUGCUUUACAACUGGAAAAAUUUUUCUACUCUGCUGCACUGAUGCUCUUGUAUGUACUUUGCAUCCUUUCCAAUUUAAUGAAUCUUGAUUCACUACAGGGAACAAAUUGCAUUGUGACUGAACUAGGUUUGUAAAUUAUGUGUCAAUUUCAAGGAUCACAUGUUCCCCAAGAGCUGCUAUUGAUGAUCUUUAAUUUGUAUGAAUUGCUUAUAGUACUUGGUUCUAGGUGGGCGUUGGUCAGAGCUUUUGUAUAUCCAAUUAAUGUAUACAACAUGCAAGCAUUACUUUUUAGUAUGACUUAUUUCUCUGGAAAGUCCUACCAAAAAGAAUAGAAAUAUCUGGAAAUUUUAUGCAUUUAUAAAUUAGUACAUAGGAGAUGGUGUAGGAGUUUGACUAACACUGGAUGGAGCUAACAAAGUUGCAGUAGAGGAUUUGACAUGUUAUCAGUUGAGAAGUGGGAAAAAGAAAAGGCAUUUCAAUAGCAAAUAGUUUAUAAAGAUGAUAAUCAGAUUAUUAGAGCACUAGACUUUGUAGAAGAAUAAUGCUUUUAGCAUAAAAUUGUCACCUUAUGGACAGUGUUUGAUGUUAUGUAAAUAUAUGUUCUAGUGCAGGUGUAUUAAUAUAUGUGUAUAUAUGUUGUGAAAGAUCACGAUGAAGAGUAAUUUUUAAUUGCUUUGCACCUUUCAUCAGCUCAACUAAGAACCAAAAAUAUGCAGCUUGUGCAUGAAGUAUAUAUAUGACUUUGGACUAUAUUUACCUAACCGGCAUGUGAAAUUACUUGCCGUCUGUACAACUUUGGAGUUGGCUGUUACUCUUUUUUUAUCUCUUGAAGUUUGUCAACUGUGUACAUAGCUUUAAUGUGUCUUGUGAUUAUGUGUCAUUACGAGACCUUCCAUCUUUAUCAUCUUGAGGGAACUGCUUCUGUACAGUGUACCCUGUAUGUUGGCUACAGCUCUUAACAGUUAUUCAUGGAUAACUUUGUUUUUUAUGGGUAUUUUGAACCUUACUUUUGUUAAUUGUGUUUGUGAGGUUUUCAUUAUCUACUACUUUCUUCUUAUGUCAAUUUGUACUUUAAUAUUGGUUGAUGAUGUAAUUGUGUUGGAACGGCAGUGCAGUGUCUGAAUAAAGAAGCUAUGAUGAAAGGAGAUGCAGUUGACAGAAAAUGCUUCUCAGAAAAUCACAGAAGUUUAGUUGCUUAUAUGCAUUUUCAGAAUUGAGCAUAUUGAUUUCAAUAGAGGUUGUUGGAGGUUGAGAAGACAGGAAGCACAUUUGGUCAACUUAAAGUUUAUAUUUCUUAUCUUGCUACUUUAAAUCAAGAAAGGUCAUGCUAGAUGUGGCGAAGGGCUGGAUGGAAUUAGAAUACUUAUGAAUAAGACAUCUAGCCCUAACCUUAGUUCUUUUUUGCUUUAUCUCAGUUUUUUCAGUUAUUUAUUAUUUCCUAUUGAAUCUUCAGUUCCAAUUGUUUUGACUGAUAUGCAUAACUAUUUUUGUUUCAGAACAAGAUGGCUAAAAUUCAGUUGAUUUAUCCCUACUAGAUUUAACCCAGAACAUUGUUGUGCUCAUUGCUGGUUCCAUAAAUUGUUUAUUUUUUGUGUGCUUGUGCUGUUUUCCAGUUAAUUUGAUAUUAACAUACAUAUCUUGUUAUACAAAAAUCAACUCUCGUUCUAUACUAAAUCGACUCUUAUUUUCUUAUUCUUCUAAAUAAUUAACUAGAUCUGAAAUAUAAGGUAACUAUGCAUAUGAUUGUUUCGAUAUACAAAUAAUGGUUGUGUAUAGGCCUUUGUGGCUAAAGCAUUUGUUGUCAUCAACUCUCGAUUUUCAUGGUUGAGAUUUUAUUCUUGACCAUAGCUUGGUUUCAAAUUUUGGGUUUCUAAACUACUUAAUGCCGGAUAGGACCAUGGACUGAAAUCUCAAUUAGCUACCGAUAACAGUCAGCGACGAGUUCGGUGUGGUACCAGUGUGUGACCGUGUAUCCAGGCUUGCUCUUGGCUGGUAUUGGUCUAUGUCUCGGUAUACUGUUGGACUAGCCAAUGCCUCCCUACUGUCCAGUACAGAUUGGUAACUAUUUACUGCCUGAAGUCUAGUAUGUUUGAAUUUACCUGACAGGACUGCUCAUACUGGAUCUAAUUGGGUGAAAUUGUGUGGUUCAUGCCAUAAUUGGGUAUUUGACCAGCCUAUACCAACUGGUACAGGUAGAAUUUUAAAACACGAGACCAACUUUGUAUUAAGAUUGGGCACAAAAUUAAAUGAUGGUGUAUGAAUUACCUUAUGAUAGGUUUUCUCUAACUUGGUGCAGCAAGACUCGUUGUUUGUGCUGUGUCUUACCAUAAAGAUUCAGGAAAUAGCUAUUAUAGGUUUUUAUGAUAAAGCCAAAUUUAGUCUAAUUUAUGCUUAUUCCAAUAUUAUCUCAAAAUGCCACCUGCUUGUAGGGUAUAUUGUUAUAUUACUUGGGGUUCAAUGUUGAGGCUAUUGUAUCUUCAAAAAUGAAGUUGUAAUUUUAUCCUGUUUGUAUUAGGUGGAACUUAACAAUGCAUCUUGUGUCUAGCAGAUGUAACCGUCAAGUAGUGAUUGGUUAUGGUCUAUGUCCUAUAAAUUAAUGCUACUCUUCUCGUCUUGGACUCUUGCAUAAUACUUUAGGCCUCAAGGCUUUCUCUGACCCCCUCUUUUCAUCUUCUCCUUUUCAUUGUGUUCAUCAAGACAUCGCUGUUGCUGAGGUGGUAGAUAAUUCUCAACUAUCAAUCUAAGUGAAGCCUUCUGCAUUGUUUAAGAAAUUUCUUUUUCUAAUGAUUGGUUGGUAGAUUGGAGAAAAUUCUUUGACAUUUAAGAUUUUAUUUAUAGGCACUUUGGGACCCAUGAGUUAUCAUGAU